UGGGGGAUAUUGCACAAUGGGCGAAAGCCUGAUGCAGCGACGCCGCGUGGGGGAUGAAGGCCUUCGGGUUGUAAACUUCUUUUGCUCUGAACAAGGCAUGCUAAUGGGUGUGUUGAGUGUAGGGGUUGAUUAGCGCCGUCUAACUACGUGCCAGCAGCCGCGGUAAUACGUAGGGCGCGAGCGUUGUCCGGAAUUAUUGGGCGUAAAGGGCUUGUAGGUGGCUGGUUGCGUCUGUCGUGAAAGCUCAUGGCUUAACUGUGGGUUUGCGGUGGGUACGGGCUGGCUUGAGUGCAGUAGGGGAGGCUGGAAUUCCUGGUGUAGCGGUGGAAUGCGCAGAUAUCAGGAGGAAUACCGGUGGCGAAGGCGGGUCUCUGGGCUGUUACUGACACUGAGGAGCGAAAGCAUGGGGAGCGAACAGG
rnacentral:rRNA from 1 species